rnacentral:rRNA from 1 species
GAGUUUGAUCCUGGCUCAGAUUGAACGCUGGCGGCGUGCCUAACACAUGCAAGUCGAGCGGUAACAGGUGUAGCAAUACAUGCUGACGAGCGGCGGACGGGUGAGCAAUGUUUGGGAAUCUGCCUAUUAGUGGGGGACAACCCGGGGAAACUCGGGCUAAUACCGCAUACGCUCUAUGGAGGAAAGCCGGGGACCGCAAGGCCUGGCGCUAAUAGAUGAGCCCAAAUUGGAUUAGCUAGUUGGUGAGGUAACGGCUCACCAAGGCGACGAUCCAUAGCUGGUUUGAGAGAACGACCAGCCACACCGGAACUGAGACACGGUCCGGACUCCUACGGGAGGCAGCAGUGGGGAAUAUUGGACAAUGGGCGAAAGCCUGAUCCAGCGACGCCGCGUGGGUGAAGAAGGCCUGCGGGUUGUAAAGCCCUUUCGGUGGGGAUGAAAAGCCUUGGUCUAACACACCAGGGUCUUGACCUAACCCAAGAAAGAAGCACCGGCUAACUCUGUGCCAGCAGCCGCGGUAAUACAGAGGGUGCGAGCGUUAAUCGGAAUUACUGGGCGUAAAGCGCACGUAGGUGGCUUUGCAAGUCGAUUGUGAAAUCCCCGGGCUUAACCUGGGAACUGCAGUCGAGACUGCUUUGCUUGAGUAUGGGAGAGGGAGGUGGAAUUUCCGGUGUAGCGGUGAAAUGCGUAGAUAUCGGAAGGAACAUCAGUGGCGAAGGCGACCUCCUGGACCAAUACUGACACUCAAGUGCGAAAGCGUGGGGAGCAAACAGGAUUAGAUACCCUGGUAGUCCACGCCA